GACGAACGCUGGCGGCGUGCUUAACACAUGCAAGUCGAACGAUGGAGCCUAGCUUGCUUGGUGGUAUAGUGGCGGACGGGUGAGUAAUACGUGAGUAACCUACCUUUAACUCUGGCGUAAGCCCGGGCGACUGGGUCUAAUACCUAAUACGGCCAAUCUCCGCAUGGGGUGUUGGUGGAAACCGUUAUGUAGUGGUUAUAGAUGGGCUCACGGCCUAUCAGCUUAUUGGUCGGGGAACGGCCCACCAAGGCGACGACGGGUAGCCGGCCUGAGAGGGUGAACGGCCACCCUGGGACUGAGAGACGGCCCAGACUGCAACGUGGGGCAGCAGUCGGGAACAUUGCACAAUGGGCGCGAGCCUGAUGCAGCGACGCCGCGUUUGGGAAGACGGCCUUCGGGUUGUAAACCUCUGUUAGCUGGGAAGAAGAUGGAUUGACGGUAACUGCAGAGAAAGCGCCGGCUAACUACGUG
rnacentral:rRNA from 1 species